GACAGAGGGUGCGAGCGUUAAUCGGAGUUACUGGGCGUAAAGGGCGCGUAGGCGGUAGGAUGUGAGUGGUGUGAAAGCCCUGGGCUUAACCUAGGAAGCGCACCGCAGACUAUCUUACUGGAGUAGAUGAGAGGGUGAUGGAAUUUCCGGUGUAGCGGUGAAAUGCGUAGAGAUCGGAAGGAACGUCGAUGGCGAAGGCAGUCACCUGGCAUCAUACUGACGCUGAGGCGCGAAAGCGUGGGGAUCGAACAGG
rnacentral:rRNA from 1 species